CGGUGGAUUGCGCGUUUCCUCGGCAGCGGUCACAAGAUGAACCCAGCAGCCUCGACGUCUCCGGGGAGCGCAAGAGUUGCACCGUCUCCAGCCUCUCGGGCUGGCGGCUUGAGCGGCCAAGGAUUCGUCCGGUGGGCCGCCGGGGCUUCAAAGUCGAGAUGUGUCUCGGCUCCUCGUGAUUUCUUCGAAUCGCAAGCCGCCGGAGCCAUUUCGAGCUCGACUGCGAAUGGACGAUCGG
rnacentral:lncRNA from 1 species